CGAAGGUGGCAAGCGUUGUUCGGAUUCACUGGGCGUACAGGGUGUGUAGGCGGUUUGGUAAGCCUUUUGUGAAAGCUUCGGGCCUAACCCGGAAAGCGCAGAGGGGACUGCCAGGCUAGAGGACGGGAGAGGAGCGCGGAAUUCCCGGUGUAGCGGUGAAAUGCGUAGAGAUCGGGAGGAAGGCCGGUGGCGAAGGCGGCGCUCUGGAACGUAUCUGACGCUGAGACACGAAAGCGUGGGGAGCAAACAGGAUUAGAUACCCUGGUAGUCCACGCCCUAAACUAUGGACACUAAGUGUCGGCGGGUUACCGCCGGUGCCGCAGCUAACGCAUUAAGUGUCCCGCCUGGGAAGUACGGCCGCAAGGUUG
rnacentral:rRNA from 1 species